GCCUCAAUGGCGCCACCUAGCAAUUUUCAAAGGACCCUUUGCUAUUCACUUAAUUCAUCAUAGAGACAUGAGAUUGGGUACAGUUGUAGAGCUCACCAAGAUGCUCAGAAUUUACAAUUAAUGCCAUAGUGCAAGUGUAACCCAUGUUAAAACCCGACAUAGGUAGGAUUAAACAAAGUUGAUUAAAAGUCUGUAGACAGAAAUAACGUCCCUGCCCCUUUAAGAAACCAGCGUCACAGACGUUGCAUCUGGGUGACGCUGCAGUGCACAGACUAGAGCGAGAGAGAGAGAGCAGAGGAGGAGUCGGAGGAAAAGAGCGGUGAUUAAUUAACAGAAAAAGUUAAUAUUAUAGUUGAAAAAACAUAAUUUACCUGGUCGGGAACGGACAGGGAUUUUAUGAGAACCAAAUUACAUCGGUUUUGGUCGGGUUUUUUUGUUCGGUUGGAAGCUCGGUCGGAGUGAAGAUUGGUCUGCGGUGUGCACGUUCACAGACGGGACUCUAGAUGGCGAGCCAGACCUAGACCUUCAAUUCAUCUUUUCCAUCGCAUCAAGGAGAGACUCUCUUGCGUGUGGUAAUUGCUGCCGGAGCGGUAGGAAUAUCAGGAACCAGUUCAAAUCGAAUUGAACAGAACUGAGAACUGUUUGAAUUAUUAUUUUGUUUUUGGACUGAAUCAACUGAGACUUUUUGUUGAACUGAACAUCUGAACUUGCAUUGAGACUUGAAUUUGAAUUUAAAGUGCCAUACUUUGAUUUUCAUAUGUUUGUGUCUCUGAAUGUGAUUUGAAAGAUUGUGGUCCGUUUUGAUUUACUUGUGUUUGAAGGUAUUUACCUACCUGAAAAAGAAUGGAUAACGAGUUAGGAAAAAAUAGAUUGGUCUAAUUAGAUUAGUCUUAUUAAAACAAACUAGGUAAACUAAAGAGUAAAAAGAAGAGUGGUAUACUUUUUUUUCCCCCUUCUCUCUUUUUCCCAUUUAUAUUUACCUCAUUAUUAAGAAUCUGCAGGGUAUUUUUAAGUUCAUGUGUUGUAUUUUAUGUGUGUGUUCUGCAUUCAGUAAACUGCCGGCCUUUUCCAUAGAAA